AUACACAUGCAGUCGAACGAAGUAGCAAUACUUAGUGGCAGACGGGUGAGUAACAUGUAGGUAUCUGCCCUUUGGCCUGGAAUAACACGAGGAAACUUGUGCUAAUACCGGAUAAGUCUUUACGGAGAAAGCUUUAUGCACCAUUGGAUGAGCCUGCACUUGAUUAGUUUGUUGGUGGGGUAAUGGCCUACCAAGACUGUGAUCAAUAGCUGAUUUGAGAGGAUGAUCAGCCACAUUGGGACUGAGACACGGCCCAAACUCCUACGGGAGGCAGCAGUGGGGAAUCUUGCACAAUGGAGGAAACUCUGAUGCAGCGAUGCCGCGUGAGUGAAGAAGGCCUUUGGGUUGUAAAGCUCUUUCGUCGGGGAAGAAAAUGACUGUACCCGAAUAAGAAGGUCCGGCUAACUUCGUGCCAGCAGCCGCGGUAAUACGAAGGGACCUAGCGUAGUUCGGAAUUACUGGGCUUAAAGAGUUCGUAGGUGGUUGAAAAAGUUGGUGGUGAAAUCCCAGAGCUUAACUCUGGAACUGCCAUCAAAACUUUUCAGCUAGAGUAUGAUAGAGGAAAGCAGAAUUUCUAGUGUAGAGGUGAAAUUCGUAGAUAUUAGAAAGAAUACCAAUUGCGAAGGCAGCUUUCUGGAUCAUUACUGACACUGAGGAACGAAAGCAUGGGUAGCGAAGAGGAUUAGAUACCCUCGUAGUCCAUGCCGUAAACGAUGUGUGUUAGACGUUGGAAAUUUAUUUUCAGUGUCGCAGGGAAACCGAUAAACACACCGCCUGGGGAGUACGACCGCAAGGUUAAAACUCAAAUGAAUUGACGGGGACCCGCACAAGUAGUGGAGCAUGUGGUUUAAUUCGAAGAUACGCGCAGAACCUUACCAACACUUGACAUGUUCGUCGCGACUCUAGAGAUUAGAGUUUUCGGUUCGGCCGGACGAAACACAGGUGCUGCAUGGCUGUCGUCAGCUCGUGUCGUGNGAUGUUGGGUUAAGU
rnacentral:rRNA from 1 species